UCUGAAUACACAUGGAAAGAGUGUGCAGAAGAUGUGAGCAGCCCUACGGAGAUUAGCUGGCUUUCUCCAGCAACAGUGAGGUUUAUGUCUCUCUGUAUCGUAGAGGAGGCUGGAGGUCACAAGAAGCUGGGAUGGGACACAGGCAGGACAGCUAACCACAACUGGCCAAAGGCAUAUUCCAUACCACAGGAUGUCAUGAUCAGCAUAUUAACUGGGGAGAAAUCUUGCCAGGAGGACCACUGCUCAGGAACUAGUGGGCAUCCAGCCAUUGGUGUGUCUCUUCACAAGCUAAGUAUACUAUGCUGUUUUAUGAGUUGA
rnacentral:lncRNA from 13 species